CUGGAGUAGGCCGUGACUCUAGUGGCUGUCAAGAAGAUAACCCCAGAGGGGGGUUUAACCCUGCAAUGUACAAGUUGCUCUUUCUACAAAGAUAAUGUUUUCUGCGUGCCUAUAGUGUCCCUUUAAAGACAAUGCUACAAAUGCCUAAUACUAAAUAACAGUUUGGAAAGGGGGCCAACCUGGCCUAAGCCCAACAGUGACUUGGUAGUUCUGCCGCUGGGUGAACGUCCUAAAAGACACAGUCAGACACUCUUACACUCAGUUCUCAACAAAUCCCAGAUCAGUGAACACACAUAGUGAUUAAUUCAAUCCUGGAAAUGUAUAUCUAUUUUUAUUGUUG